rnacentral:rRNA from 1 species
CCUACUUGGAUAACUGUGGUAAUUCUAGAGCUAAUACAUGCAUUAAAGCUCUGACCUCACGGGAAGAGUGCAUUUAUUAGAACAAAACCAAGCGGCUUCGGCUGUUUCUGGUUGACUCAUAGUAACUGAGCUGAUCGCAUGGUCUUGCACCGGCGACGUGUCUUUCAAGUAUCUGCCGUAUCAACUUUCGAUGGUAGUGUAUCUGACUACCAUGGUGAUCACGCGUAACGGAGAAUAAGGGUUCGGCUCCGGAGAGUUCGCCUGAGAAAUCGCGAACACAUCUAAGGAAGGCAGCAGGCGCGAAAAUUACCCACUCUCAGCACGAGGAGGUAGUGACGAAAAAUAACGAGACCGUUCUCUUAUGAGGCCGGUCAUCGGAAUGGGUACAAUUUAAACCCUUUAACGAGUAUCUAUGAGAGGGCAAGUCUGGUGCCAGCAGCCGCGGUAAUUCCAGCUCUCAAAGUGCAUAGAAUUAUUGCUGCGGUUAAAAAGCUCGUAGUUGGAUCUGUGCCAUAGGACGUGGUCCACCUUCGGGUGCGUACUACGCUCCUAGGCUUUUUGCUGGUUUUCCCGUCGUAGCCUUCACUGGUUGCGGCGGGUGGCUGGCGAGUUUACUUUGAGAAAAUCAGAGUGCUCAAUACAGGCGUAUCGCUUGAAUGAUUGUGCAUGGAAUAAUAGAAAAGGAUUUCGGUCCUCUUUUAUUGGUUUUGUGGACUGAGAUAAUGGUUAACAGGGACAAACGGGGGCAUUCGUA